rnacentral:rRNA from 1 species
AACGAACGCUGGCGGUGUGCUUAACACAUGCAAGUCGAACGGGCUCUUCGGAGCUAGUGGCGGACGGGUGAGUAAUACAUAGAUAACCUGCCUUAAAGUGGGGGAUAACUAGCCGAAAGGUUGGCUAAUACCGCAUAAUGUAAUCAAUUGGAAUAUUGAUUAAGAAAGGAUUUAUUCGCUUAUAGAGGGGUCUAUGGUUGAUUAGCUAGUUGGUGGGGUAAAGGCCUACCAAGGCGACGAUCGGUAGCUGGUCUGAGAGGAUGAUCAGCCACACUGGGACUGAGACACGGCCCAGACUCCUACGGGAGGCAGCAGUGAGGAAUAUUGGUCAAUGGGCGAGAGCCUGAACCAGCCAUCCCGCGUGAAGGAUGAAUGUCCUAUGGAUUGUAAACUUCUUUUCUGCACCAAGAAAAUGUCGUACGUGUACGAUUUUGACGGUAGUGCAGGAAUAAGCAUCGGCUAACUCCGUG